CAAUUUCAGGGAAUGAAGUAGGAGGAACGGAGGAAGGAGACUACAUCCCACUCAAUGUUCAUUUACCCGUCUGUGUGGGAAAAAAAAUCAGGAGUCUUGCCUUAUGGUCCCUUCCCUUCCGGAGAAGUCUUUCUGAAAACACGGAAGAGAGGAAUAUAGUUGUCUCCAGCCUCUCUGAGCAAGCAGCCCGUAGGAACCAGCUCCUGAGAGCACAAGCACUGCCAGCAGCCAUCUGCUAAUCACCUUCCCCAGUGGCUCUAAAGUUCUCCGCCUGUCCCCAGCCGGCCCACCAAAGCAGCUCACACUCUUAGCUGGCCCUGGGAAGCCUCAGAAACGUGUUAACCUACCUGCACAGUGAUUCCCUUCUUCGGGUGAGCAGGGAACUCGUCCCUUUGGUAGUCACACUGCAGGCUAAUUAGCAACCAUCUACUCUGUUAGCUGCAGUGAAACUGGUCUCCUCCAUGCUGUUAGGCGAGCUGAGUCGCUUGUUUGCCGUGAACUUCUGGCUUCCGUUCAGCUGACUUAGGGGAGGAUCAUUCUCCUGGCAUUAUAAGAAUGCACGCAGUUGAGUCAAACAGCCUGAUAGACGGCGAAGGCAAACCCUGCCGCACUGUCUGAUGUCACCGGGAGGAAGAUACAGGAGCAGAUGGUGAAGGCAAUAACUUCAUGUACCACAAGAACCUCAGAACACAACCUUCCCACGGAAGAAGGGAUGAGCUGCCGAAACAGGCAAUGCACCGAACACUCUGGCACUAUAGCUACUCUGAUCAAAGCCGAAUCGUCAUUGGGAAUGGCUGCCUGUUUGCCCUACGCCGCUCUUGCCUUGGGUGAUGGAGCUAGGCAAUCUCUGUGUUGCCAGGAAAGCGAGUGGCCCUCUCUCCCUCUGGCUCUUUGGCAGGUGGCCACCCUUGCAUCACAUGGGGAAUCUGGCAAAUCAAGUCCAAUUCCUUUGCAGUAUAGCUGCAGCAAGGAUUUCCAGUUAGUGAUUCCGUGGUGACUCCAAUGAGUCACAGCGCCCUGAUUGUCCUGCAGAGAAGGAGGGCCUAAGUUUGUCCCCGUGAGGAUCGUCAUUACUCUUCGUUCGAGAAUUCUGCAGUCUUUGGAGCUCAACCUGAGAAUGAGAGUCCUGCCUCCAGCCACUGUCACUAACCCUCUGGUUGCAAACUUUCACCAAAUUGGUGGUGUAGAUUUCUGCCCUUCCUUUGUGCUGACAUCUGUCUCUCUCCUUUUUAAAUCUGCUAUCAUUUCUUGUUUAAAGUUUUUAUUAAAAACUGCUGUCAUUUCGGGUGCCUGGAUGGCUCAGUCAGUGAAGCAUUGAUUUUGGCUCAGGUCACAGUCUCAUGAUUCAUGAUCAACUGUAUGGGGCACUGUGCUGACAUCUUGGAGCUUGCUUGGGAUUCUCUCCCUCCCUCUCCCUCUGCCCCUCCCCUACUCAUGCUCCCAUACUCUCUCUCUCUCUCUCAAAAUAAAUAAAUAAACAUUUUUUAAA